UUUAAUUGUUUUUAAUUGAGUUUAAAUACUUUCUGGUUUCAAAAAUUUGUGAGAAAAUUAGUCAAAGCUUGUUUAACUAUGUUGAGCCUAUGGAAAUUUAAUUGGACUCAUUGAAGUUGUUUUGAAUUGAAUUUGAGGUUUGACCUUAUUUGUUUAUUUUUUAUUUGCAUUUUAUUUUAAUUCAAAAAAUACCAAAAAAACAUUAUUGACUUGUUAUCUUCAUUUCUUUUCUGUUUGGUGUUGAUUGAUGUUGGUUUGAUUCACAUUUG
rnacentral:lncRNA from 1 species